UAACUCUUCCUUAUCUUAUUUCGAUACAUUGGGGACAAUGUUCGAUUUAAGUGUGGGAGGAGACUCUAUCGUCUUUUCUUUAUUUCUUUUCUCGUUUUCCCUUUAUCAUUUUUUCUUUGCUAUUUUUAGAUAGUUUAUUUAUUGUUAUUUCCUUUUAGUUGUUUAUUUUGCUUUCUUAGUAUAAUGCAUGAGUCUGACGAGUCACCAAAUACAGUAGAUCUUUAGUACAACCCUACCUCCCCG
rnacentral:lncRNA from 1 species